UGUUUUUGUAUUUACAUGGCUCAGCAUUUCUGAGUGAACACCGCUGGUUCACUCAAUAUUUUUAAGUGUACUGUCGAUCACGUGAUAUGACGUCAUGACGUGCCAUCCUAACUGACGUUACCUGAAAAAUCUAUCCAAGAUGGCUACCCUCUCGAGCAAUGUGGUGUCUAUGCGUGGUAUCAAGCAUUAAACUUUAAGCUAACCUACACGGCACGAACCGGAAAGAUAUCAGAGGCGCUGCGUGACAUCUUUAAGAUUUAUGAUCUCCAGGAAGUGCAGGAUGUCAAUAUGAAGCGUACUGUAGCCCUUCGUGCCCUCCCGGUAUACAUGCGUGAGGAGGACCCACAGUUCUUCAAGACUUGUAAUGUGGAGGAGUCAGAUGAGCCAUGCAUCGACACUCCUGUUGCUCUUGUCACAGUCACAGAGGACACUGCAGAUCCAGUUCAUUUCAGUCCUGCAAGUAUUUCUAUUGUUGUGGAAGACGAUGUUGUGAUGAGUGAUAUCCCUAACUUGGCUGAUGCAUUUGCAUUGUUGUUUGGGUUAAUGUAUGCAUUGCAUUUGAACUAUCCCAAGAAACUCAUUCACACUUUCACAUUCAUCCAGAAAAUCCUAAUGGGUCUUGAUGAUGGUAAACCACUUAAACCCUGCCUACUGAGUCUCAAAAAUGACCUGUUAAUGAAAGAGUAGGCUAACUUAAGAGUAGUGUUUACACAUGUAUUUUCUUGUCUGCAUGUUGAUGUGUUUUGGGGGUUCCCAGUAUGGUAACUUUAUAGUAUGUUGUUGAACACAAUGUUACUCAAAGCAUUUGAAACUGUUUACAUAUGGCAGAUUAUGUCUUGCCCACCAAAUCUUUUAAUUUACUUUUUUUUGUAUAUUUUUUUAUUCCAUUUUCACUUUGAUUGCUGUUACUAAUGCUGUUUUAAUAAGCAUUUAUUUUCAUACUUUUUAUAUUAAGCACUUUGCUUAGUUCCUGAUGAUCUUGUUCCUGUUUAAUAUGUAGAGAUACAUAUGUACACAACACACACACACACACACACACACAGAGACACACACACACACACAGAGACACACACACACA